GACGGAAGGUGCAAGCGUUGCUCGGAAUCACUGGGCGUAAAGGGUGCGUAGGCGGCCGCGCAAGUCUGGCGUGAAAGCCCCGGGCUCAGCCCGGGAAGUGCGCUCGAAACUGCGCGGCUCGAGUGCCGGAGGGGAGAGUGGAAUUCCUGGUGUAGCGGUGAAAUGCGCAGAUAUCAGGAGGAACACCGGUGGCGAAGGCGGGUCUCUGGGCCGAUACUGACGCUGAGGAGCGAAAGCGUGGGGAGCGAACAGG
rnacentral:rRNA from 1 species